GACAGAGGAUGCAAGCGUUAUCCGGAAUGAUUGGGCGUAAAGCGUCUGUAGGUGGCUUUUUAAGUCCGCCGUCAAAUCCCAGGGCUCAACCCUGGACAGGCGGUGGAAACUACCAAGCUGGAGUACGGUAGGGGCAGAGGGAAUUUCCGGUGGAGCGGUGAAAUGCGUAGAGAUCGGGAAGAACAUCGGUGGCGAAAGCGCUCUACUGGACCACAACUGACACUCAGGGACGAAAGCUAGGGGAGCGAAUGGG
rnacentral:rRNA from 1 species